UUAGCCUUCCAGUUUAUUUAUAGUUCAAUGGUCCUAGCCAUUGAACUAUAAAUAAACUGGAAGGCUA